rnacentral:rRNA from 1 species
AUUGAACGCUGGCGGCAGGCCUAACACAUGCAAGUCGAACGAGUGGCGGACGGGUGAGUAAUGUCUGGGAAACUGCCUGCUGGAGGGGGAUAACUACUGGAAACGGUAGCUAAUACCGCAUACCAUCAGAUUUGCCCAGAUGGGAUUAGCUAGUGGGGGGGGUACAGGCUCACCAAGGCGACGAUCCCUAGCUGGUCUGAGAGGAUGACCAGCAACAAGGGAACUGAGACACGGUCCAGACUCAUACGGGAGGCAGCAGUGGGGAAUAUUGCACAAUGGGCGCAAGCCGGAUGCAGCCAUGCCGCGUGUAUGAAGAAGGCCGUCGGGUUGUAAAGUACUUUCAGCGGGGAGGCGUUACCCGCAGAAGAAGCACCGGCUAACUCAGUGCCAGCAGCCGCGGUAAUUC